rnacentral:rRNA from 1 species
UACGUAGGGUGCGAGCGUUGUCCGGAAUUAUUGGGCGUAAAGAGCUUGUAGGCGGUUUGUCGCGUCUGCCGUGAAAGUCCGGGGCUCAACUCCGGAUCUGCGGUGGGUACGGGCAGACUAGAGUGAUGUAGGGGAGACUGGAAUUCCUGGUGUAGCGGUGAAAUGCGCAGAUAUCAGGAGGAACACCGAUGGCGAAGGCAGGUCACUGGGCCGCAACUGACGCUGAGGAGCGAAAGCAUGGGGAGCGAACAGG